UUUCGGAUCCCGAUUCCCAGAUCGCCCCUUCGGGUCCCGGAUGCGAGUCUUGCGGGCUCCCGGCGUCGCGAGUUCGAAUCUGCCGGCUGCCGCGCUCCGGUUCCGCGUGCUCCUUCCAGACGCAGCCGCAGCCCCGGUCCCCGGGGGGCUCCUGAGUCCGGCCGUCUCCCUCCCCAGCCCUCCCCGGACCCGCUUCCAGUGUCCUCCGCGCCUCGGAAGCGGGCGGGUGGGGAUGGAGACUCUGGGGACCCCCGCCCCUAAUUCCGGCCAGGGGCCCCGGACUGGGGGGCGCAGAGCCGCCGGGCCGAAGGCUCUGGAAGCGGGGGCGCGGCCGAGAGGCGCAGUGACCGGACCGGCGUCCCCACCCGCCUCUAAACUUAGCCGCGGUGACGCGCGGCCCGGCGAUCGCGGCUGGGCCGGGGACUCAGGGGGGCCCGAGCGGAGGGGGGCGGCUCCGCUCGGCGAGCCUCUAUUUAUAGCGCCCGGAGCCCGAAAUAGCGCGGAGCCGAGCGGCCGGGAUGACGCGGGAGCCGCCGGGGGCUGACUCACCCGGCCCCGAGCGGCGGCCCCCGGAUGAGGGGCAGUGGAAGCGCCUGGCCCGGACCCCACGCCCUCCAGGGCAACUCUUCUGCUGGGACAUCCCGAGUGUCCAGAGGUCACUGUGGAUGGAUGUGCAGCAAAAGGGAGGAUCUGCAGCACGCGGGACUGAGACAGUGCAGCCUGCGCAACACAAGAGACGCAGCACAUACACAGUGGAGCAAGGAUGGAAGCAGGAGGCCCAGCAAGGAAGAGACUGCAGCUGUCCUGGGAAGAUCAGAUCAGCCUGGACUGGGGUGCUGGGGAGUCAAGAAGGCAGCUUGGGUCUGCGGGACUGGCAGUAACAUGAACCAGAAGAGCAGAAUGAGAAGAAGGCUGAGAAUUCUGAGGCUGGGAGAAAGCUUUGAGACAGCCCAGUGGGAACGUCCAGGAGACAGAGGGAGCGCCGGGCUCAAGACUGAAAUCUGAGAACCAUCAGUGCAUGUGUAGACGAGAGGGAAAAACUAAAGUACAGAGAGGUUCGUCUCUUGCCUAAGGCCACACAGCAAAGAAGCAACCAAACCAGGACUCCAACUGAAGCUUAUGUUCUCCACCACUGGGGCCGGCCCGGUGGCGCAGCGGUUAAGUUUGCACAUUCCUCUUCCUGGCGGCCCAGGGUUCACUGGUUCGGAUCCUGGGUGCAGACAUGGCACUGCUUGGCACGCCAUGCUGUGGUAGGCGUCCCACGUAUAAAGUAGAGGAAGAUGGGCACAGAUCUUAGCUCAGGGCCAGUCUUCCUCAGCAAAAAGAGGAGGAUUGGCAGUAGUUAGCUCAGGGCUAAUCUUCCUCAAAAAAAAAAAAAAGAAAAUUCUGUAUGUUUACAAGAGGCAAAAUACUCUGCAAGUUUCCACAGAGACCCCUUGAGCUGGGGGCCUGAGGUCUAGUUCCGGCCCUGCCCUCUUUCCCAGCCUCAGUUUCCUCCUGUGAGGGAGGGCUGGAGGAGAUGGUAUCUGAAAGCCAUAGAAACUCUGCCUUCAGGGUGGAGGAGGCAGGCCCCCAAACAGAUUGUAUUCAUUUCCUGUGCUGCUGUAACAAAUUACUACCAACUUGGUAGCUUAAAACAAAAGAAAUUUAUUCUCUGGAGGCUGGAAGUCCUAAAUCAAAGUGUCAGCGGAGCCACCCUCCCUCCAAAGGUUCUGGGGAGGAUCCUGCUCUUCUCCUCCAGCCUCUGGCGGCCUCAGGCGCCCUUAGCUUGUGGCUGCCUCACGCUGUCUCUGCCUCCAUCUUCACGUGGCGUCUCUUCUGAUCUGUGUCUUGUCACCCUCUGCCUUUCUCAUCUAAGGAUGCUUGCUGUCAGGUUCAGGGCCUGUCCCGAUAAUCCAGGAGGAGCUCAUCUGAGAUCCUCACCUGAAUAGAAUCCGCAAAGACCCUUUUUUCAAAGAAGCUCCCGUGCACAGGUCUCAGGUGGACCCAUCUGGGACGGGGCGGGGGGGGGGGGGGGGGGGGGGGCGGCGCACGCCAUUCAAGUCACUGCACAGAUCAGAACAGAAAAGUGAGGACCGGAGAACAGGCAGCAGUGUUGACACCGGGAGGCGGCCAAAGCUUUGGGAUGGCGCAGGCCCGUUCCAGCAGGGACGGCGGGCACGCUCGCCCUGGGGGACCCGGAGUGGCCCGUGCAUCCCACACGUGUGUGACAAGUUGUGUGCGCCCCCACGGCCUGGGCAUCCUCCACUUUGAGGAUGGGACGUUUUGCAAGGAGUGUUCAUUCUUCAACUUUUCAUGUGGACCCGAGAGAUUUUCUCUUUCCUGAAUCUCCAAUCAGUAAUAAAAGUCAGCCCUCAUACUGCCUUUAAUAGGUGCCAGGCCCUGUUCUCAGUGUUCCGUGCUUAUUCCUUCGUUUAAUCUUCACAACAUCCCUCUGAGGCCUUGUGGGUGGUUCCCCCUUUCAAGUUGGAGCUGCAACUUGCAAGUUCCAGAACUAGUAUCUGAACCCCGCAGUCUGGCUGCAGACUCCAGGGUCUUGACCGUAGCCACGCUGUCUCCUGGAGGCACACUGUCACCUGUUAAAUCUGGACUUUGAGGAAGCCACCCUCCAGAUCUCCGAUGGCGCCAUCAUCCAUUUCUGCACGGUCGGAUGUGGCAGCCACUUGUCCGCGUGUGGAUCUUGAGAGCUUAAAAUGUGGCUGGUCCAAAAUGAGAUGUGCCCUGAGGGUAACAUUCACACUGGAUGUCGAAGACGAGACGUAGUGUGAUAAAAAGAACGUAAGAUAUCUCGUUAAUAAUUGCCAAUAUUGAGUACACGUUGAGACAAUAUUUUGCAUAUAUCUGGUUAAAUAAAACACAUGAACAAAA
ensembl:lncRNA